rnacentral:rRNA from 1 species
GGAGUUAGCCGGUGCUUCUUCUGUGAGUGAUGUCCUUCCUGCCGGUUAUUGACCCGCAGGCCUUCUUCCUCACUGAAAGUGCUUUACAACCCGAAGGCCUUCUUCACACACGCGGCAUGGCUGGAUCAGGGUUGCCCCCAUUGUCCAAUAUUCCCCACUGCUGCCUCCCGUAGGAGUCUGGGCCGUGUCUCAGUCCCAGUGUGGCUGAUCAUCCUCUCAGACCAGCUACGGAUCGUCGCCUUGGUGAGCCGUUACCUCACCAACCAGCUAAUCCGACAUAGGCUCAUCCGAUAGCGCGAGGCCCGAAGGUCCCCCGNUUUCCCCCGUAGGGCGUAUGCGGUAUUAGCCUGGGUUUCCCCAGGUUAUCCCCCACUACCGGGCAGAUUCCUAUGCAUUACUCACCCGUCCGCCGCUCGCCACCAGGAGCAAGCUCCCCGUGCUGCCGCUCGACUUGCAUGUGUUAGGCCUGCCGCCAGCGUUCAAUCUGAGCCAGAGUCACAACUCGUAGACGUAGACGGCGGUCGUCGGACGACGGCC